CUGUGAUUGGAGGGCAGCGAUGAGUUGAAGAUUUGUGCUUGGGGCGGGGAGGACCUGCUUGUUGGCGCCCAAUAAUUGGUGGGAGGGGAGGCACGUGGAAGCCGAGGGAGGAGAUACAGACCCUUUAGCUACAUCACCCACUCGUGCGUGAGUGAGACUUAUCUUACCCCAAGGGUAAAAGUGGGAGGUAAAGAGACCUUCCGCUGCGUAAAAUCGGCUCGACCCGGAAACAGAGUCUCUUUAAAACUAUUCACACUGCGUAGGGGCGGGCGGAAUUGACGUGUUGCUAAGGCUGGAAGGCUUCGCAAGUUGCUAAGCGACGAGGCGGGAGAGCGCGCGCACGCACGGGCCGCUGGCGAGUACCUGAGGGAUUUGUGGCUCUCGCAGUUCAGAGACCGAAGACUCCCAGCGAGUGCGCCGCGGCCUGCCGGGUCGUCCUUCCCUAGUUGCCAGGGGACCCUCCGCUCUAGGUAGUGUCCGGUGACGAGCUGAGCAGCUUGCGGGGACGCUCCUCUGAGGCGGCCAGCUACCGCGCGUCUUCCCGACUCCCUGAGGCAGGCCUCACCCAUCCAAAUGAGAAGGGUGCUGUUUACAUAUUCUAAUAAGGACAGAGAUUUCUUCUACCAUCAGAUGUCUUUCUGCUUGACUGAACUGCACCUGUGGUCUUUGAAGAAUACCUUACACAUUGGAGACAGAGACAUAGGGAUCUAUCAGUAUUAUGAUAAGAAAGACCCACCAGUAUCAGUGACAGAGCAUGGUAACUUAACAGAAAAGCAGAAACUGGCAGAAUCACGAGAUUAUCUGUGGAUACUCAAAAAUAGACGCCCAGAGAAACUUCGAGACUCACUCAAGGAGUUGGAGGAAUUGAUGCAAAACAGUCACUGUGUGCUGAGCAAAUGGAAGAACAAAUAUGUCUGUCAGCUCCUCUUUGGUUCAGGUGUGCUGGUGUCCUUAAGCCUCUCUGGGCCACAGCUGGAAAAAGUGGUGAUUGACAGAAGCCUGGUGGGGAAGCUCAUCUCAGACUCCAUCAGUGAUGCUCUUCUCACAGACAACUUCAUCAUCUUGUCAUUUUUGGCACAAAACAAACUAUGUUUUAUUCAGUUUACCAAGAAGAUGGGGUCUCCUGAUACAAACAAAAGACUGGAAAAACUCUCAGCCUUGGAUUAUAAGAUUUCCUAUUAUGAGAUACCUGGUCCAGUAAACAGGACAACAGAGCGUCGUCUUGCUAUCAAUUGUGUUCAGGAUAUAGUUGCUUGCUGGUGGCCACUGGUCAGUGAUGAUGCUUGGCCUUGGGCUCCCAUUUCCCCUGAGAAGGACAGAGCCAAUCUGCUGCUCCUAGGUUAUGCUGAAGGAAAACUAGAGGUCCUGAGUUGUGUCCGCACAGAAUGGGAUCUACUGGAUGUUCGCUUUGGCACCAAACAGCCUUAUCAGGUGUUGACAGUGGAGAACUCCAUCAGUGUAGACAAAGAGCCCAUGGCUGACAGCUGCAUCUAUGAAUGCGUUCGGAACAAAAUCCAAUGUAUAUCAGUAACUAGAAUACCACUAAGAUCAAAGGCCAUUAGCUGCUGCAGGAAUAUUACUGAAGACAAACUAAUUUUGGGCUGUGAAGAUUCUUCAGUAAUUCUGUAUGAAACUCACCGUAGAGUAACUCUCUUAGCCCAGGCUGAACUUAUGCCUUCAUUAAUAAGUUGUCACCCAAGUGGUGCCAUUCUACUAGUUGGCAGCAACCAAGGGGAGCUACAGAUUUUUGAUAUGGCUUUAUCCCCAAUUAACAUCCAGCUCCUGGCCGAAGACCGCUCACCCAGCGAGACUCUACAGUUCAAUAAAUUCUUUGACAUUUCCAGCAGUCUUGUUCAAAUGCAGUGGAUAGUUCCUCAGGUGGUUUCUCAGAAGCCAGAAUGUGGGGACAUCUAUGAUCUCCUCUUCCUCAGGUUUAACAGAGGACCUUUGGGUGCACUUUUGUUUAAACUUGGUAUCUUCACACGAGGAAAGCUGGGCCUGACAGACAUCAUAUUCCAGUACAUUCAUUGUGAUGAGAUCUGUAAGGCAAUAAACAUCCUGAGCAGUAUGGACUGGGACACACUGGGUCACCAGUGUUUUAUCAGCAUGAGUGCCAUUGUAAACCAUCUUCUUAGACAAAAGCUCACUCCAGAGAGAGAAGCACAGCUUGAGGCAAGCCUUGGAACCUUUUAUGCUCCAACAAGACCACUCCUGGAUACAACUAUAUUGGAAUAUAGAGACGAAAUCAGCAAAUAUGCAAGAAGAUUCUUUCAUCACUUGCUCAGGUACCAGAGAUUUGAAAAGGCAUUUCUGUUAGCGGUUGACAUUGGUGCUCAUGACCUGUUUAUGGAUAUCCAUUACUUUGCACUAGAUAAGGGUGAAUUGGCACUAGCUGAAGUGGCAAGAAAAAGAGCUAGUGACAUUGAUGCAGAAUCAAUAACCUCUGGAGUUGAACUCCUGGGGCCUUUGGACAGAGGAGAUAUGCUAAAUGAAGCUUUUGUUGGCCUGUCUUUAGAUCCUCAAGGAGAAGACACAUUUCCAGAUGACCUUCCUCCCUUUUGUUCAAUUCAGAAACAUAUUAUUCAACAAAGAACAGUGAAUGUCUUCUCUAAUAGACAAGUACUUGACAGAAGAAAUGAACUUGACACCUGUGCAGAAUCUUUGAGGACUAAGACCUGUAAUGAAGAAGAAAUUGCCAAAGCCACCUGAACCUUCAGCGACAACAACCCUGAUCAGUCAGCAGCCAUCAAUAUCAAAGAAGACGCUCCACCACCAAAAAUUACAGCUCAGUGAAAGCUCAGAAGAUGGUUAGCAUAUUUUAGCAAUAAAGUAUUUUUAAAUUAAGGUCCUGGAGCAGAAACGACAUGUUUCUAUGUCAUUAAUAUUUGGUAGAAAUCACCUACUUUGCCAUCCUACGAGAGACAAGCUGUCUCCUUCCUGAACCUGGGGAGGAAGAAACCUGGGAUCAACAGCCUAUAAGUUGGUGUUUCAUACACAGGUUUACCUACUUUUAAUCUUGAUAAACUUCAAGGAUUUUUUUUUUUAAUCACAUUUUGGUACUGUGGAUCAUCUGUCACCGAUGGUCAGAAUUCCAUGGUAGCAAAGUGGUUUUCUCCAUUUAGAAAAGACAGCUUUGCUACACUUAACAACAUUAGGAAUUAUUUCUAAGAUGAACAUGGAGGGUCUAAAAGUAAAAGCACUUUUGUAAAUAUAUGCUAUCUUAUCUGGAGCUGUUGCUUUUUUUUCUUAAAGAGUUUAAAGGAAGAAUAUAUUUAAACCACAUAAACAAAAUGGUAUUACAUAAGAAAAAAUAAUGUAACAAUUUAUGUAAGUACCUAACAUAUGAGCAUGCUCUUAAACCUAAAACAAAAAAUAAAAAGGUAA